GGGGGCGCGGGGGCGGCUGUAAUGGCGGCGCCGCCCCUUGGGUGGUCUGAGGGGGUUUGCCUCGAGGCUGCAGCGGCAUACGAUGGCAGGAAGCCUUUUUAGUCACGGCACAGCCACCAGUGUGGUUUGGGCCGGUGUGACGUCCCACCCUUAAGGGAAGGGGAACACUCGAGAUUCGUAAAUGCUCAUGGUCGAAAGGAACAACAAAAGUCAAGAGGGUCCGCAAGCAAUCGAAGUUUUAUUAGUAAAUUGCACACUUGGCAUGGAAAUCGGGCCAGCAUCCUUGGAUGUGUUCUGAAAUGUCUCCUAGUCUGUGUGAGUCAUGAUAUAAGGCUUUGUGGUAUGGAACAGUUAUCACCUUGGCAGAGAGAUCCAGGGACAGCCCCUUAGUUACCAAGUGCCUUGGGACUACUACUUCACAUAAAACAUUUUUCUCAAACUUUGAGUUUCUUCGUCCUGUCACACAACCUUACCUUAAGCAUUCAUAUUGAUCUGCAGUCAUUUUACCCUUCUGGCACUGCGGCUUCAUACACCUGGUGCAAGUAUUUCUGGAGGCGUGUCACAGGCUUUGUUGUAUUUCAGCAUUAAAGAAGAUUAUGUUCCUUUGUACAUUGGAGACGGUCAGCUUCAGAUACAGCGUUUUUCCAAGAAGAGACAGAUAGUCAUGAAGCUUUGUGGAGGAGUUAUUGUGUUAUAGCACUUAGAGGAGACCACCUCCUUAAAGAAGCAGGGCAUAUUUUCCUGUUUGAACUGUUCCACCUCAAUUGCUGCAUAUUUUCGGUAACUCUGUUCAGCACAGAAAAAUCAAGCUGUUUGGACUGCAGUGGUGGGGUUUUUUGUAUAAUGGUUUUCUCUUGAGUUGACGAUACGUAAUAAACUUUGUAAAUGGUACAGAGUAAAUGACUUGCAAAAAAGUAGGAUUCCUCACUUCCCAAGGGCCACAGGUACUAUCCUAGAGGAGAAAAUGAGUUGUUGAGUCUGCAAGUCUACUUUAAAAGGUAGAAAGAUUCAUGGAUAAUUGUGUGGGAAACAUGGAAAAAGUGCUGAGUGGUCUUGGCAUAUUAAAUGUUGAGAGAAGUAAGGACAAGUGCUCCCUAAAGACUUUGUAUGGGUAACUGUGAAGUUAAUUUCAUGUCCUAAAUAGAUGUCAACUUUUAGGCUUAAUGAAUUGUUAGCAUUGAAGAUCCUUUUGCGUGUUUUGUGAGCAGUCUUACAGCAGUCUGUGCCACACAAUUUAUUGAACUGUGUUUGGAAGUGAAAAAUGUGCAGCCUAGAUGAUUCUGCCCUCCAUCUUGGUUUUCUAGACUACUUUGUGCAUCCUGUAUAGAGUUUGGCAUUUAAAUUAUUAAAAGAAGGGUAGGAAGCUUAAAUGCAAUUUGAAUAUCCUCAGACCAUUGAGGAAUUCUGUUUAGCUUCCCCUAUAUUAACAUACUGAUAAUUAUGACUUAUCCUCUUUUCAACAGAAUAUUUAGUAUAGAAAAAUCUGACUACUUCUAAAUGUUCCUCUUUAUAUUGCAACCGUUGUACAAUGUUAUGGAAAGUGGUUCCCGUGGUAUUAUUUUCUUAUUAUAAAUUAUUCUUCACAAAAGAGUUUUAGUGAAGACAAUCUUAUUCCAAGUAAUGUGUAAAAGUUGACUAAGGACCAGGUAAUUCUUACUCAGCUGCUUUUUCUCAAUAAAUAAUUAUAAGUCAUGUUUAGAAACAUGCAAAAGUCUGGAAUCUGUAAAUCUGUUCCUCUUUGCUUCUCUCUGGCACUUCGCUCCACCAAGAGUUUCCUUCAUUCUUCUUUAUACUGAAAUUAGGACGACCAGUAGCUUUAGACCAAUGCUUUGAGAAUAAAGUGUGAGGAGUACACAGAUGCAGAUUUUGGACUUGAUUAGCG